UACGUAGGGUGCAAGCGUUGUCCGGAAUUAUUGGGCGUAAAGAGCUCGUAGGCGGUCUGUCGCGUCGGCUGUGAAAACCCGAGGCUCAACCGCGGGCCUGCAGCCGAUACGGGCAGGCUAGAGUUCGGUAGGGGAGACUGGAAUUCCUGGUGUAGCGGUGAAAUGCGCAGAUAUCAGGAGGAACACCGAUGGCGAAGGCAGGUCUCUGGGCCGAUACUGACGCUGAGGAGCGAAAGCGUGGGGAGCGAACAGG
rnacentral:rRNA from 1 species